GAUCAAAUCAAGCGCGAAAAGGGCGUUUGGUGAAUGCCUUGGCAGUAAGAGGCGAUGAAAGACGUGAUACUCUGCGAUAAGCCGUGAGGAGCUGAGAAUAAGCUUUGAUCCACGGAUCUCUGAAUGGGGCAACCCACCUGAUACUGUGUUAUUACUGCUCUCCGGAGCAGCUAAUAAUGCGGUAAAACAGGUAUUUUUAACCUGAAUAGAUAGGGUUAAAAAAGCAAACCCGGGGAACUGAAACAUCUAAGUACCCGGAGGAAAGGAAAUCAACAGAUACUCCCCUAGUAGCGGCGAGCGAACGGGGACCAGCCGAGCCAUGAGUGUGAAUAGAAUGUGUUGGGAAGCACAGCCAUAGUGGGUGACAGCCCCGUAUAUGAAGCACAAUUGGACGUAUUAAGUAGGGCGGAACACGUGAAAUUCUGUCUGAACAUCGGAGGACCACCUUCGAAGGCUAAGUACUCCUUACUGACCGAUAGUGAACCAGUACCGUGAGGGAAAGGUGAAAAGCACCCCGACGAGGGGAGUGAAACAGUACCUGAAACCGAACGCCUACAAUCAGUUGGAGGGCCCAUGAGGCCUGACAGCGUACCUUUUGUAUAAUGGGUCAUCGACUUGGUCUAUCUAGCAAGCUUAAGCCGUUAGGUGUAGGCGCAGCGAAAGCGAGUCUUAAUAGGGCGAAUGAGUUAGAUGGAUCAGACCCGAAACCGAGUGAUCUAGGCAUGCCCAGGAUGAAGAUAAGGUAACACUUAUUGGAGGUCCGAACCCACACCUGUUGAAAAAGGUCGGGAUGAGGUGUGCCUAGGGGUGAAAGGCCAAUCAAACUCGGAGAUAGCUGGUUCUCUGCGAAAUCUAUUUAGGUAGAGCGUCAUCCGAAUACCCCGGGGGGUAGAGCACUGGAUGGGUAAUGGGGCCCCACAGGCUUACUGAUCCUAACCAAACUCCGAAUACCCGGGAGUACUAGAUGGCAGACACACUGCGGAUGCUAACGUCCGUAGUGGAGAGGGAAACAACCCUGACCUACAGCUAAGGCCCCUAAUUCAUGGCUAAGUGGGAAAGCAGGUGGGACGACCAAAACAACCAGGAAGUUGGCUUAGAAGCAGCCAUCUUUUAAAGAUAGCGUAACAGCUCACUGGUCUAAACAAGUUGUCCUGCGGCGAAGAUGUAACGGGGCUCAAGCCAUGAGCCGAAGCUUAGGAUGCACAUAGUGCGUGGUAGCAGAGCGUAGUGUGACAUAGUUCCAUGUCUCCUUAGCGGGUUCGCCCGUAUUGGAGACGCGGAACUUUCGAUGAAGCCGGGGCGUGAGCCAUCCGGUGGAGAGAUCACUAGUGAGAAUGAUGACAUGAGUAGCGACAAACAGGGUGAGAGACCCUGUCGCCGAAAGUCCAAGGGUUCCUGCUUAAAGUUAAUCUGAGCAGGGUAAGCCGACCCCUAAGGCGAGGCCGAAAGGCGUAGUCGAUGGGAACCAGGUUAAUAUUCCUGGGCCAGGAAGUAGUGACGGAUUCCGGACGUUGUUCAUCCUUAUUGGAUUGAAUGGGCAGCCAAGGGGUCCCUGGAAAUAGCUCUUCCAUGAGAUCGUACCCUAAACCGACACAGGUGGACUGGUAGAGAAUACCAAGGCGCUUGAGAGAACGAUGUUGAAGGAACUCGGCAAAAUACCUCCGUAAGUUCGCGAGAAGGAGGCCCAGUUUCUACGCAAGUAUUGGCUGGGGGCACAAACCAGGGGGUGGCGACUGUUUACUAAAAACACAGGGCUCUGCGAAGUCGCAAGACGACGUAUAGGGUCUGACGCCUGCCCGGUGCCUGAAGGUUAAAAGGAGGUGUGCAAGCACCGAAUUGAAGCCCAGGUAAACGGCGGCCGUAACUAUAACGGUCCUAAGGUAGCGAAAUUCCUUGUCGGGUAAGUUCCGACCUGCACGAAUGGCGUAACGACUUCCCCGCUGUCUCCAACAUCGACUCAGCGAAAUUGAAUUACCUGUCAAGAUGCAGGUUUCCCGCGGUUAGACGGAAAGACCCCGUGCACCUUUACUACAGCUUCACACUGGCAAUAGGUCAGGCAUGUGCAGGAUAGGUGGUAGGCUUUGAAGCAGGAACGCCAGUUUCUGUGGAGCCUCCCUUGAGAUACCACCCUUGCCUCGCUUGUUGUCUAACCGCGGUCCGUUAUCCGGAUCCGGGACCCUGUGUGGUGGGUAGUUUGACUGGGGCGGUCGCCUCCUAAAUAGUAACGGAGGCGCGCGAAGGUUGGCUCAGACCGGUCGGAAAUCGGUCGUUGAGUGCAAUGGCAGAAGCCAGCCUGACUGCGAGACUGACAAGUCGAGCAGAGACGAAAGUCGGUCAUAGUGAUCCGGUGGUCCCGAGUGGAAGGGCCAUCGCUCAACGGAUAAAAGGUACGCCGGGGAUAACAGGCUGAUACUGCCCAAGAGUCCAUAUCGACGGCAGUGUUUGGCACCUCGAUGUCGGCUCAUCUCAUCCUGGGGCUGGAGCAGGUCCCAAGGGUACGGCUGUUCGCCGUUUAAAGAGGUACGUGAGCUGGGUUUAGAACGUCGUGAGACAGUUCGGUCCCUAUCUUCCGUGGGUGUAGGAUAUUUGAGAGGAGUUGCCCCUAGUACGAGAGGACCGGGGUGAACGUUCCACUGGUGGACCAGUUGUCGUGCCAACGGCAGUGCUGGGUAGCUAUGAACGGACAGGAUAACCGCUGAAGGCAUCUAAGCGGGAAGCCCCCCUCAAAACAAGAUAUCCCUGAGGACCGAGGUAGACUACCUCGUCGAUAGGCCAGAGAUGUAAGUGCAGCAAUGCAUUCAGUUGACUGGUACUAAUGGUCCGAUAGGCUUGAUUUGAUCCAG
rnacentral:rRNA from 2 species